ensembl:lncRNA LINC01121 long intergenic non-protein coding RNA 1121
AGGUAACUCACAUUUGCGACUUGCACGGUGUGAAUUGUGGGUGUCCUCACCUGUCCUGAGACUAGCCAGCUGACUGUUGCCCAGAGCUAGCAGGCAUAGCCAGCUGAAAUUCUGAAAGUGGAUUAUGCAUGGAGUAAUGCUGUUCUCAGGAAAUCAGUGAUUUAUUUUAUAAUCUAAAAUUUAAACGUUUUAAUAUACCUCCCAAGAAGAUACCCAGUUCAGAAAACUGCAGAGGAGCCAUGGAACUCAGCAGAAGGCCAGCUCCCUCUCUGGGAGGCCGCCUUCAGGAAACCAAUCGUCCCCCCACCUGAUUCCAAAGGAAUUACAGAAAAAUGGAAAGCCAGGAACAAAAAUCAUAAAUCAUAUUUUCAAUAUGACCUUGUAACGUUAUCCAUGGAUGUUACCUCAGACUUCGUGAUAAGCUGAGGCCCUGACACCAUGUUCCUGUCACCUUCCUGUUGUGGCCAUGAACGAUGCCUUGAGCUCAGCUGUACCUGGAUGCUUGGACUCAGCUGCUGCAGCUCAGAGGCUCUGGACGAGCCCUUCAUCAUCAGGCCAUCUCUUCUGAGAUUCUGCUCAGGACUUGGGCCUGGAUGAUCUGCUGAGCUUCAGUCUCUGCCCUGCUCCCCUCAUGGAGGACCUGAUUCAUCUGGAGCCUCGGACUCCCUAUGUAGUGGUCCCUGGGAUCAGAGCAGCACUCUUGGUUAUGGAGGCUGAGAAGUUCAAGGUCAAGUUACCACGUCUGGCGAGAGACAUUCUUGAUGAAGAACAGUAAAACAGACUUGUUAUUGGCAGCCCAUUAGUGCUCAGGAGAGGCGGUCUCCAGCAUGACAUCAGCCGGCGGCUCGACCCAAAUCUAGUAUUUCACCAGAGAGCCUAACGCUGCUGGCUUUCCAACUGUGUGGAAGACGAUACAGGCGUAACAAAGACAAGGAUGAAAUAAGUCCUGUGAUGGAGAGACAAGCAAAAUUCUACCUGACUUCACAGGAGGAAGAAGUGUGCUGUGCCAGGGGGAACAGGAGAAAGCUUCAUGGAAGAGCGACAUUCACGAGAGAGACGAAUAGGACACGGUCAUCCGAGUGCCGAGGCGCGGAAGCGCGAACUGCCCGGAGCGACCUGGCUUGGCGCACAGACUCAUUAACCAAGCCCGAGAGGAGGCAGCAAUGCGUGUGCGGGAAAGGGAGCGGUUCUCAAAAUACAAAGUGAUAAAACAGCUUCCAGUUAUAUUGAAAAACGAUGCAAACCCUCAAUUCCUUUUUUUUUUUUUUGGACCUGGCCGGACCUGGAAAUGCCGGUUAUAAACAAGAAUAAAAACUUGAAUUUAUUGGUGGAAGUCCUGUUAAAAGAGCUCAACACAAGCAUAUGAGACAAACUGCAAGAAGCAAACAGUCUCCAUUCAGAGAGCAGGACCACACUCUGGGUUCUUGUUUAAGCGUUUGACGUGCACAUGAGACACCUAACAAAGCCUGAAACUAAAUUUAUUUUUCACUACAUCUCUCUGGUAUCAAACUUUUGGAAGUAAAGCAUGUAUUUAUCAAUAAAACAGAUGUUUGCCCAGCA